UACAGAGGGUGCGAGCGUUAAUCGGAAUUACUGGGCGUAAAGCGUGCGUAGACGGCUAUCUAAGUCGGGUGUGAAAGCCCCGGGCUCAACCUGGGAAUUGCAUUCGAGACUGAAUAGCUAGGGUACGGUAGAGGGAAGCGGAAUUUCCGGUGUAGCGGUGAAAUGCGUAGAUAUCGGAAGGAACAUCAGUGGCGAAGGCGACUUACUGGACACAUAUUGACGCUGAGGUGCGAAAGCGUGGGGAGCAAACAGG
rnacentral:rRNA from 1 species